rnacentral:rRNA from 1 species
GUGGGGAAUAUUGGACAAUGGGGGGAACCCUGAUCCAGCCAUGCCGCGUGUGUGAAGAAGGCCUUUUGGUUGUAAAGCACUUUAAGCGAGGAGGAGGCUACCGAGAUUAAUACUCUUGGAUAGUGGACGUUACUCGCAGAAUAAGCACCGGCUAACUCUGUGCCAGCAGCCGCGGUAAUACAGAGGGUGCGAGCGUUAAUCGGAUUUACUGGGCGUAAAGCGUGCGUAGGCGGCUUUUUAAGUCGGAUGUGAAAUCCCUGAGGUUAACUUAGGAAUUGCAUUCGAUACUGGGAAGCUAGAGUAUGGGAGAGGAUGGUAGAAUUCCAGGUGUAGCGGUGAAAUGCGUAGAGAUCUGGAGGAAUACCGAUGGCGAAGGCAGCCAUCUGGCCUAAUACUGACGCUGAGGUACGAAAGCAUGGGGAGCAAACAGGAUUAGAAACCCCAGUAGUCC